GGGGCUGUAGCUCAGCUGGGAGAGCGCAUGACUGGCAGUCAUGAGGCCAGGGGUUCGAAUCCCCUCAGCUCCACCA
rnacentral:tRNA from 2 species